AUCAACUUUCGAUGGUAGGAUAGAGGCCUACCAUGGUGGUAACGGGUAACGGGGUGUUAGGGCACGACACCGGAGAGGGAGCNUGAGAAACGGCUACCACAUCCAAGGAUGGCAGCAGGCGCGCAAAUUACCCAAUCCCGACACGGGGAGGUAGUGACAAUAAAUAACAAUACGGGGUUCUUUCGGAUCUCGUAAUUGGAAUGAGUACAAUUUAAAUCUCUUAACGAGGAACAAUUGGAGGGCAAGUCUGGUGCCAGCAGCCGCGGUAAUUCCAGCUCCAAUAGCGUAUAUUAAAGUUGUUGCAGUUAAAAAGCUCGUAGUUGAAUUUCGGGGUCAGUAGGUCGGUCGUGCCACCGGUAUGAACUGGUUUUACUGAUUCCUCCCUCUUGAAGAACUGUAAUGCCAUUAAUUUGGUGUUGCAGGGAAUCAGGACUGUUACUUUGAAAAAAUUAGAGUGUUUAAAGCAGGCUUUAGCUUGAAUACAUUAGCAUGGAAUAAUGAAAUAGGACGUUUGAUCCUAUUUUGUUGGUUUCUAGGAUUGACGUAAUGAUUAAUAGGGAUAGUUGGGGGCAUUAGUAUUCAAUUGUCAGAGGUGAAAUUCUUGGAUUUAUUGAAGACUAACUACUGCGAAAGCAUUUGCCAAGGAUGUUUUCAUUAAUCAAGAACGAAAGUUAGGGGAUCGAAGACGAUCAGAUACCGUCGUAGUCUUAACCAUAAACUAUGCCGACUAGGGAUCGGAUGAUGUUAAUUUUUUAAUGACUCAUUCGGCGCCUUACGGGAAACCAAAGUGUUUGGGUUC
rnacentral:rRNA from 1 species